rnacentral:rRNA from 1 species
UACGUAGGGUGCAAGCGUUAUCCGGAAUUAUUGGGCGUAAAGAGCUCGUAGGCGGUCUGUCGCGUCUGCUGUGAAAUCUGGGGGCUCAACCCCCAGCCUGCAGUGGGUACGGGCAGACUAGAGUGCGGUAGGGGAGAUUGGAACUCCUGGUGUAGCGGUGGAAUGCGCAGAUAUCAGGAAGAACAUCGAUGGCGAAGGCAGAUCUCUGGGCCGUAACUGACGCUGAGGAGCGAAAGCAUGGGGGAGCGAACAGG